GGGCAGGGCUCAGUGGUGGAGCGCGUGCUUAGCAUGCACUGGGGUCCUGGGUUCAACCCCCAGUACCUCCA
rnacentral:tRNA from 1 species